rnacentral:lncRNA from 1 species
AGGCGAUCUAUUAUUACCCAGAUGGAAUCAUUCCCUUUUUGCGUCCGGGGCAGUUCGGUUACGAAGUCCAUGCCUAUUUCUUCCCACUUCCAUUCAGGUAUCGGAAGGGGUUGUAAUAGGCCUGCAGGCUUUUGGUGUUCGGCCUUCGUCCGUUGGCAGAUGUCACAUCGGGCCACAUACUGAGCUAUCUCUUUCUUCAUCCCUUUCCACCAGUAUUUGGUUUUGAGGUCCAGGUACAUCUUGGUAGUUCCUGGGUGGAUGGAGUAGGCCGAGUCGUGAGCUUCCUUGAGUAGGACCUCUCGAGCCUCCCCUUUUGGUACACACAGACGGUAUUUGAACUAAAGGACUCCUUGGUCAUCCGUCCUGAGGUCCGGGAGUUGUCCCUUGCGGGCUUUCUCCACAAGUCCUGCUGUCUCUUAGUCUAGACGUUGAGCUUUGCGUAUGAGGUCUUCCAGCAUUGGUUUGACUUCGAGACUGUCGUUGUUUCCCAGACAUGCAUUUAGUUGCUGAUUCUUUCUUCCAAUCCUCUAAAAGGUUGGUUCCUUUUAAUCCGAAUGGUUUUCGACUGAGGGCGUCGGCUACCACGUUGGCCUUCCCGGGGUGAUAGUGAAUUUCUAGGUCAUAAUCCUUGAUCAGCUCCAACCAUCUUCGCUGACGGAGGUUGAGAUCUGGUUGAGUGAAUAUAUACUUCAGACUCUUGUGAUCGGUGAAAAUGUGGCAUUUGUUUCUGAUUAGGUAAUGCCUCCAUAUCUUCAAGGCAUGCACUAUGGCUGCCAAUUCCAAAUCAUGGGUGGGGUAAUUCUGUUCGUGCGGUUUGAGUAGGCGUGAUGCGUAAGCAAUGACUUUCUCAUUUUGCAUUAGAACACACCCUAAGCCUUGCCUCGAGGCAUCACAGAAGACGACAGAAUCUUGAUGAAUAUCUGGCAGUGAUAGAACGGGUGCUGUCGUGAGUUUCUCCUUUAUGACCUGGAAACUCCCUUCACAUUUUGGGGUCCACACAAAUUUAUGGUUUUUCUUGAGAAGUUCUGUCAUUGGUCUUGCUAUGCUGGAGAAUCCUUUGAUGAAGCGGCGGUAGUACCCUGCCAUUCCUAGGAAGCUUCGAACUUCACUGACGUUGGUUGGCUGCCUCCAUUUUGAUAUUGCUUCCACCUUGGAAGGGUCCACUUCUAUCCCUUCUGCGGUUAAGAUAUGCCCAAGGAAGGCUAUCUUUUCCAACCAGAAUUCACAUUUACUGAGUUUAGCAUAAAGUUGGUGUGUUCUGAGUUUUCCGAGGACGAUCCGAAGGUGACGCUUAUGGUCUUCGCAAUUCUUGGAGUAGAUAAGGAUGUAGUCAAUGAAGACUACGACAAACUUAUCUAGCUCUUCCAUAAACACUUUAUUCAUGAGGUUCAUGAAAAAGGCGGGUGCGUUUGUCAGUCCGAACGGCAUCACUGUGAAUUCAUAUUGCCCGUACCGGGUGACAAAUGCAGUCUUUUGGAUGUCUGCUUCCUUGAUCCUUAAUUGGUGGUAACCAGACCUUAGGUCUAUCUUGGAGAAGUACUUGGCUCCUUGAAGCUGAUCGAAGAAGUCGUCAAUCCGAGGAAGCGGAUACUUGUUC